UACAGAGACUGCAAGCGUUAUUCGGAUUCACUGGGCGUAAAGGGUGCGCAGGCGGCCAAGUGUGUGAGGCGUGAAAGCCCGGGGCUUAACCCCGGAAUUGCACCUCAAACUACAUGGCUAGAGCAUUGGAGAGGGUAGCAGAAUUCAUGGUGUAGCAGUGAAAUGCGUAGAUAUCAUGAGGAAUACCAGAGGCGAAGGCGGCUACCUGGACAAUUGCUGACGCUGAGGCACGAAAGCCAGGGGAGCAAACGGG
rnacentral:rRNA from 1 species